GACGAACGCUGGCGGCGUGCUUAACACAUGCAAGUCGAACGGUGAAGCGCCUUCCUUUUUGGUGGGUGUGGAUGAGUGGCGAACGGGUGAGUAACACGUGAGUAACCUGCCCCCUUCUUCUGGAUAACCGCAUGAAAGUGUGGCUAAUACGGGAUAUUCUGGGUCUGUCGCAUGAUGGGUCUGGGAAAGAUAUUGUUUCGGUGGGGGAUGGGCUCGCGGCCUAUCAGCUUGUUGGUGGGGUGAUGGCCUACCAAGGCGGUGACGGGUAGCCGGCCUGAGAGGGUGGACGGUCACACUGGGACUGAGACACGGCUCAGACUCCUACGGGAGGCAGCAGUGGGGAAUAUUGAACAAUGGGCGCAAGACUGAUGCAGCGACGCCGCGUGAGGGAUGGAGGCCUUCGGGUUGUGAACCUCUUUCGCCAGUGAAGCAGGCCUGCCUCGUUUGUGGGUGGGUUGACGGUAGCUGGAUAAGAAGCGCCGGCUAACUACGUG
rnacentral:rRNA from 1 species